rnacentral:tRNA from 1 species
GGGGAUGUAGCUCAGUUGUAGAGUGCUUGCUUGGCAUGCAUGAAUCCCUGGGUUCUAUUACCAGAUCCACA